rnacentral:rRNA from 1 species
GACGAACGCUGGCGGCGUGCUUAACACAUGCAAGUCGAACGGAAAGGCCCUGCUUUUGUGGGGUGCUCGAGUGGCGAACGGGUGAGUAACACGUGAGUAACCUGCCCUUGACUUUGGGAUAACUUCAGGAAACUGGGGCUAAUACCGGAUAGGAGCUCCUGCUGCAUGGUGGGGGUUGGAAAGUUUCGGCGGUUGGGGAUGGACUCGCGGCUUAUGAGCUUGUUGGUGGGGUAGUGGCUUACCAAGGCUUUGACGGGUAGCCGGCCUGGGAGGGUGACCGGCCACAUUGGGACUGAGAUACGGCCCAGACGCCUACGGGAGGCAGCAGUGGGGAAUAUGGCACAAUGGGCGGAAGCCUGAGACAGCAACGCCGCGUGCGGGAUGACGGCCUUCGGGUUGUAAACCGCUUUCGCCUGUGACGAAGCGUGAGUGACGGUAAUGGGUAAAGAAGCACCGGCUAACUACGUG